rnacentral:rRNA from 1 species
CCUACGGGGGCAGCAGUGAGGAAUAUUGGUCAAUGGGCGGCAGCCUGAACCAGCCAUCCCGCGUGAAGGAAGAAUGCGCUAUGCGUUGUAAACUUCUUUUUCAGGGGGAUAAAAUUCUGUAUGUAUACAGGACUGAAGGUACCCUGAGAAUAAGCAUCGGCUAACUCCGUGCGAGCAGCCGCGGUAAUACGGAGGAUGCGAGCGUUAUCCGGAUUUAUUGGGUUUAAAGGGUGCGUAGGCGGAAUAAUAAGUCAGUGGUGAAAUCCUGCAGCUUAACUGUAGAAUUGCCAGUGAUACUGUUUGUCUUGAGUAUGGUAGAGGCAGGCGGAAUGUGUAAUGUAGCGGUGAAAUGCUUAGAUAUUACACAGAACACCGAUAGCGAAGGCAGCUUGCUGGGCCGUUACUGACGCUGAUGCACGAAAGCGUGGGGAUCGAACA